CCCAGACUCCUACGGGAGGCAGCAGUGGGGAAUAUUGCACAAUGGGGGGAACCCUGAUGCAGCGACGCCGCGUGGGUGAAGGAGUACUUCGGUACGUAAAGCCCUAUCAGCAGGAAAGAAAAUGACGGUACCUGACUAAGAAGCCCCGGCUAACUACGUGCCAGCAGCCGCGGUAAUACGUAGGGGGCAAGCGUUAUCCGGAUUUACUGGGUGUAAAGGGAGCGUAGACGGCAGUGCAAGUCCGGAGUGAAAGCCCGGGGCUCAACCCUGGGACUGCUCUGGAAACUGUAAAGCUGGAGUGCGGGAGGGGCAGGCGGAAUUCCUGGUGUAGCGGUGAAAUGCGUAGAUAUCAGGAGGAACACCGGCGGCGAAGGCGGCCUGCUGGACCGUAACUGACGUUGAGGCUCGAAGGCGUGGGGAGCAAACAGGAUUAGAUACCCCAGUAGG
rnacentral:rRNA from 1 species